rnacentral:hammerhead_ribozyme from 1 species
GUACUGCUGAAGAGUCCUAAAAAUAGGACGAAACAGUCGUCCAGUAC